rnacentral:tRNA from 1 species
GUUGGUGUAGCUCAGUGGUAGAGUGCAUGUUUUGUAUGUAUGAUGUCCUGGGUUCAAUCCCCAGCUUCUCCU